rnacentral:rRNA from 1 species
AUUGAAGAGUUUGAUCAUGGCUCAGAUUGAACGCUGGUGGCAGGCCUAACACAUGCAAGUCGAACGGUAACAGGAAGCAGCUUGCUGCUUCGCUGACGAGUGGCGGACGGGUGAGUAAUGUCUGGGAAACUGCCUGAUGGAGGGGGAUAACUACUGGAAACGGUGGCUAAUACCGCAUAACGUCGCAAGACCAAAGAGGGGGACCUUCGGGCCUCUUGCCAUCAGAUGUGCCCAGAUGGGAUUAGCUUGUUGGUGAGGUAACGGCUCACCAAGGCGACGAUCCCUAGCUGGUCUGAGAGGAUGACCAGCCACACUGGAACUGAGACACGGUCCAGACUCCUACGGGAGGCAGCAGUGGGGAAUAUUGCACAAUGGGCGCAAGCCUGAUGCAGCCAUGCCGCGUGUAUGAAGAAGGCCUUCGGGUUGUAAAGUACUUUCAGCGGGGAGGAAGGUGUUGUGGUUAAUAACCGCAGCAAUUGACGUUACCCGCAGAAGAAGCACCGGCUAACUCCGUGCCAGCAGCCGCGGUAAUACGGAGGGUGCAAGCGUUAAUCGGAAUUACUGGGCGUAAAGCGCACGCAGGCGGUCUGUCAAGUCGGAUGUGAAAUCCCCGGGCUCAACCUGGGAACUGCAUUCGAAACUGGCAGGCUUGAGUCUUGUAGAGGGGGGUAGAAUUCCAGGUGUAGCGGUGAAAUGCGUAGAGAUCUGGAGGAAUACCGGUGGCGAAGGCGGCCCCCUGGACAAAGACUGACGCUCAGGUGCGAAAGCGUGGGGAGCAAACAGGAUUAGAUACCCUGGUAGUCCACGCCGUAAACGAUGUCUACUUGGAGGUUGUGCCCUUGAGGCGUGGCUUCCGGAGCUAACGCGUUAAGUAGACCGCCUGGGGAGUACGGCCGCAAGGUUAAAACUCAAAUGAAUUGACGGGGGCCCGCACAAGCGGUGGAGCAUGUGGUUUAAUUCGAUGCAACGCGAAGAACCUUACCUGGUCUUGACAUCCACAGAAGAAUCCAGAGAUGGAUUUGUGCCUUCGGGAACUGUGAGACAGGUGCUGCAUGGCUGUCGUCAGCUCGUGUUGUGAAAUGUUGGGUUAAGUCCCGCAACGAGCGCAACCCUUAUCCUUUGUUGCCAGCGGUUAGGCCGGGAACUCAAAGGAGACUGCCAGUGAUAAACUGGAGGAAGGUGGGGAUGACGUCAAGUCAUCAUGGCCCUUACGACCAGGGCUACACACGUGCUACAAUGGCGCAUACAAAGAGAAGCGACCUCGCGAGAGCAAGCGGACCUCAUAAAGUGCGUCGUAGUCCGGAUUGGAGUCUGCAACUCGACUCCAUGAAGUCGGAAUCGCUAGUAAUCGUGGAUCAGAAUGCCACGGUGAAUACGUUCCCGGGCCUUGUACACACCGCCCGUCACACCAUGGGAGUGGGUUGCAAAAGAAGUAGGUAGCUUAACCUUCGGGAGGGCGCUUACCACUUUGUGAUUCAUGACUGGGGUGAAGUCGUAACAAGGUAACCGUAGGGGAACCUGCGGUUGGAUCACCUCCUUACCUUAAAGAA